rnacentral:tRNA from 7 species
CAUCACAGAAAUCUUAUAUGCAUAGUAAUUGAC